AUGCAGAAAGGGUUCCCGAGAGAGGGUCGGAACGCUCCCCUUACCGGAGGGCCCUCGCCUUCCACUGGAUGGGAAGCAAACUCCGACUUCAGAGGCACGGGGUUUGGCCUGCCACCCAGAGCCUUCCUUCCCGGUGUCGCAUCUCCCAGCGGGCCCACCGCUGAUUCUGCACACCCCGACGCAGUCACCGGGGAGGCGGAGCAGGCUGGGACCAGGACAGCCAGCUCCCCGAAGUCACGUCCACAGCGCCCCGGGACGGCGGACGCUCCCCGGGUCCGCGCGGGCACGUCAGCUUCGGUGGGGGCAGGGGGCGCGCAGCCGGCAGCCUCGAGAACCAGCGACUCCGACGCGGACGCGCCAACCACUGCCGUUAACUUUGCCGCCAGCGGGACUUCCGGCGCGAGGCGGGGCGGCUGGCGGCUGGCGGCUGGCGGCUUCCGGCUUCCAGGACCCGGUCCUCCUCCCGCCGCAGCCCGCCCCUCCUCCCGGCCCCGGUCCCGGUCCCGGCCCCGGUCCCGGUCCCGGUCCCGGUCCCGGUCCCGGACCCCCUCGCCACCCCGAGGCCCCGCCCCCUGCCCGGGUCCCCCUCGCCACCCCGAGGCCCCGCCCCCUGCCCGGUCCCCCUCGCCACCCCGAGGCCCCGCCCCCUGCCCGGUCCCCCUCGCCACCCCGAGGCCCCGCCCCCUGCCCGGUCCCCCUCGCCACCCCGAGGCCCCGCCCCCUGCCCGGUCCCCCUCGCCACCCCGAGGCCCCGCCCCCUGCCCGGUCCCCCUCGCCACCCCGAGGCCCCGCCCCCUGCCCGGUCCCCCUCGCCACCCCGAGGCCCCGCCCCCUGCCCGGGUCCCCCUCGCCCGGUCCCCCUCGCCACCCCGAGGCCCCGCCCCUGCACGGGUCCCCUCGCCACCCCGGGGCCCCGCCCCCGGCCCGGGUCCCCCUCGCCACCCCGAGGCCCCGCCCCCUGCCCGGUCCCCCUCGCCACCCCGAGGCCCCGCCCCCUGCCCGGGUCCCCCUCGCCACCCCGAGGCCCCGCCCCCUGCCCGGUCCCCCUCGCCACCCGAGGCCCCGCCCCCUGCCCGGUCCCCCUCGCCACCCCGAGGCCCCGCCCCCUGCCCGGUCCCCCUCGCCACCCCGAGGCCCCGCCCCCUGCCCGGUCCCCCUCGCCAUCCCGAGGCCCCGCCCCCUGCCCGGUCCCCCUCGCCACCCCGAGGCCCCGCCCCCUGCCCGGUCCCCCUCGCCACCCCGAGGCCCCGCCCCCUGCCCGGUCCCCCUCGCCCCCCCGAGGCCCCGCCCCCUGCCCGGGUCCCCCUCGCCAUCCCGAGGCCCCCGCCCCCUGCCCGGUCCCCCUCGCCACCCCGAGGCCCCGCCCCCUGCCCGGUCCCCCUCGCCACCCCGAGGCCCCGCCUCCCGACCACUCAGGCCCCGCCCCCUGGCCCCUCCUUUCCCUCCUCCCCUCCCCCCGUUCCAUCUAAUUGUUGGAUUGUCGGCGCUGCACUCCCGCUGGAGGCCGGCAGGGGGCAGGGUUCGAGCCUGGAUUUUCUUCCGCCGGGCGUCCCCGGGGAGGCCGUCGCCGAGAGGGAGAGGGGGAGGGGGGAGGGGAGGGCGGGACGCGAGGACGCGGUUCGGUCGGCUGCUGCGCUACUUUUGGCCCCGGGUCGGCGGGGAGGCUGUGGCUGCCGCAUCAGAGCUGACGUGGGGGCGACGCGGGGCCCCGGGGGCGCCGGGCUGCCGGGCUCGCCGUCCCCACCUCCUCCCGCCCGUAAGCAGUGA
rnacentral:lncRNA from 1 species